GAGGGUAUAGCUCAAGUGGUAGAGCACAUGCUUAGCAUGCAUGACGUCCUGGGUUCAAUCCCACGUAUCUCUA
rnacentral:tRNA from 1 species